rnacentral:misc_RNA from 1 species
UUUCCGUAGGUGAACCUGCGGAAGGAUCAUUCAUAAUAAAGUGUUUUAUGGCACUUUUUAAAAAUCAAUAUCCACCUCGUGUGCAAUGUUAGAUCUCGUCAAUCUUGGCGAGAUUUUUAUACAUCAACUCAUUCUUUAACUAAUUUGUCUGAAAAAUAUUAUGAAUACUUAAUUCAAAAUACAACUUUCAACAACGGAUCUCUUGGCUCUC